UGGGCUGUGGCUCAGUGGCAGAGCACUUACCUCGCAUACAGGAGGCCCUGGGCUCGACCCUCAGCACCACAU
rnacentral:tRNA from 1 species